rnacentral:rRNA from 1 species
UACGGAGGGUGCAAGCGUUAUCCGGAUUCACUGGGUUUAAAGGGUGCGUAGGCGGGUUGAUAAGUCCGUGGUGAAAUCUCCGAGCUUAACUCGGAAACUGCCGUGGAUACUAUUAGUCUUGAAUAUCGUGGAGGUAAGCGGAAUAUGUCAUGUAGCGGUGAAAUGCUUAGAGAUGACAUGGAACACCAAUUGCGUAGGCAGCUUACUACACGAUCAUUGACGCUGAGGCACGAAAGCGUGGGGAGCAAAC